CUGGGUACACAGUGUUGUUGUUCGUGUUGAGCCUGGGGUGACUGGCCCCCACUUCAACAAAACCAGUGCUGGACUUGGGGCGAUUUUUUCUUUGUCCUGUGGCUCUCACCUGCCUUCUGACAGCCAAAGACCAUUUUAUGCAGCCUGCAUCCAGAUGCCCAAGUCCUAGACAAAAAUCUAAUACUCGCAGAUUUCCUUGGGCCAUGUUUGCCAGCCUACAAGGGUGGGGAGAGUGGCAAUGCAGCACGGUGAAACUGUCUGAGGCAGCAGUGUAAUGGCAGCAUGGGCUGCAUCAGUUCUCAGGGGAAAGGUCCAUUUCCCCCAUAUUUGGAGUCCUCAGAGAUUUUAGGGUGAAGACAGAGGACAUUCUCAAUGAGGUUCUAUCAAGGCAUCUUCACUCUCAGGUGACCUACUCUCAUGUGGAAUUUUGCAUCCUGCCAUCCCAUAGUAUUCCUGCCACCGCCACCACCACCCCAGCAGGUGGAUGGAGUGGGAUACACUGUCC